rnacentral:tRNA from 1 species
GGAGAGGUGCUCGAGUGGUUGAAGAGGCACGCCUGGAAAGCGUGUGUACCUCAAAAGGGUACCGAGAGUUCGAAUCUCUUCCUCUCCG